ensembl:lncRNA
GAGCUUUGUAAGGAAAGUCCAUUACCACAGGUAGGAUUUGAGGGUUUGUAGCCUGGCCCCACUUCCUAUGCUCUCUGCUCCAUGUGCGUGGAUGAACUGUGAUCUCACUGCUUUCUAACUGCUAGGUCAGCCUAUGCUUCUGCCACCGUGCCUUCCUUCUGCAAUGGACCCUGUCCUUCUGGAACACCCAGCCAACAUAAACGGUCCCUUCCUCAGCAGCUUUUGCUGGAAUGUUUUACCACAGCAACAGAAGAGUAAUGAACACACAGCCUUACUCCAAGCUGUCCCAGUAUGCCCCAGCCAACCAGAGAAAGAUCUGUUCCCUCAGUUGUUCACAUCAUGGUCUAAAGACGCCCAGCAACCAGAGGCCGCUGACCCUGCUGUGAACGCCUGGAGGAAGCAACUUGAAGAGAAAUCAUUUGGAGAAUUGUGAUGACUCAUUGGAAAGAAGACUCAAUCCCAAGUCUUGCCUCUUCUUCCAAAUGAUAGUGUGACCUUGAGACUCAAGAAGUUUAUCUGAAGAGAUGGAGUGCUGAACUAGAACAGGAAUCUGAAGCAUCUUUACACACGACAUUGAAAAAAUAUCCAAAGGGCUUAUCAAAAAAAAAAAAAAAAAGAGCCUUGCACUAAAUUGCCAGUGUAUGGCAUCGGCAGGAAGAUAGGAAUGUUAAUCAUUUACCAUUUCUAGACUCCUGUGUUAGAACAUCUCUUGACCCAAUGAGUGGAUUAUCAUCCUGCCAUCCAUCACAACCUUGGCCCCAGCAAAAUAAUCUGUAGUCACACUUACUCCUCACUAAGUCAGAACUCCAUUUUCUUUAACUAUGGAAAUGGGAUCUGCCAUCACUACUUCUACUUCUGUGGUUUUCUUUUCAAACACAUGGCUGUUUAUCUCUGUUUAUCUUUCUAAUUGGGUUUCACAUGAGCCAUAGCAUGUAGGGGUAUAAAUCAUUGGUUGUAAAAACUACCUUCAAUUAUUUGGAUACUCAGUAUUUAAUGACUACAUCAGAAUUGAACUGUCCACAACAUUUUAAACUGGGACAUGACUCACUUCCUUAUUUAAUUAUUAAUUAAUCCCUUGAGAAUUUCAUACAUGCAUACAAUGUACUUUGAGCAUAUUCACUGCUGUUCCAUCCCUUAACUCCUCUCAGAUCAACAAAUCCCCUCCCAACUUUAUGUCUUUUUUUUUUUUGUAACCAACCAAGUCCAGUUUGUACUGCCCAUGCACAUAUGGAUGAACGGUCAUCCGUUGGAACACAGCUGACCAAUUAGGGGCCAUACCUUUAAAUAAUACUCUCUUUUCCCCAGCAGUCAUCAACUGUCAGAGGUACCUCAACUAGGAGUGAGGACACUGGAUCCCCUCCCCUCUCCAUGCUGGAAUAUUGACUGGCUUGUCUCAUGCAGUUCUUACACAGACAACCACAGCUGCUCACAUUCAUGUAUGCAGUAGUCCUAUCCUGUCCAGCAGACACACAGUCUGGUGUCCCUCAACCUCUGCCUCUGACAAUCUUUCUACUCCCUUGGACUCACUUUCAAGCCAUGUAUGUUGAUUGUCUUGCUGGACUCCAGUACAUACUUAUAACACUUCUGACCCCAGUACAUACUUAUAACAUCUCUAACCCCAGUACAUACCUAUAACAUCUCUGACCCCAGUACAUGCUUAUAACAUCUCUGACCCCCCAAAACUCAUCCUUCAGUCAGUAGCUAUUGGUGUCCAGGAUCCAUCACAAAAAAAAUGUCCAACAAGCAGCUACAAACUCAGUAUCUCAACAUUUACAGUUGCAAGGACUCUGCUUUUCUAAUUGGUUUCCAUAAGUACAGUGCUGUGCACCCUAGCCCUGACCUUAACAAGUGACAUUUCUACCUGCUGGCCUUGUGACUCCAUUAAUACCAUCUGCCCAUGAUACUGUUCAGAGGCUCAAAUAAAAUAUAAC